rnacentral:rRNA from 1 species
UGAGUGCGAGCUGCUACGGCAGCGAAGUUGGUGACGUCAUGCUUCCAAGAAAAGCCCUAUACCCGUUAAGGCAUCAUGGCCUGUACCCGAAACCGACACAGGUGGGGUGGUAGAGAAUACCGAGGGGCGCGAGGUAACUCUCUCUAAGGAACUCGGCAAAAUGGCCCCGUAACUUCGGGAGAAGGGGUGCCACCGCAAGGUGGUCGCAGUGAAGAGGCCCAGGCGACUGUUUACCAAAAACACAGGUCUCCGCUAAGUCGCAAGACGAUGUAUGGGGGCUGACGCCUGCCCAGUGCCGGAAGGUUAAGGAAGCUGGUCAGCGCAAGCGAAGCUAGCGACUGAAGCCCCGGUGAACGGCGGCCGUAACUAUAACGGUCCUAAGGUAGCGAAAUUCCUUGUCGGGUAAGUUCCGACCCGCACGAAAGGCGUAACGAUCUGGGCGCUGUCUCGGAGAGAGGCUCGGCGAAAUAGAAUUGUCUGUGAAGAUGCGGACUACGUGCACCCGGACAGAAAGACCCUAUGAAGCUUUACUGUAGCUUGGUAUUGUGCCCGGGCUCGCAAUGCGCAGGAUAGGUGGGAGGCUUUGAUCAUCGGCUUGCGGGUCGAUGUGAGCCAACGGUGAGAUACCACUCUUUGCGAGCUAGGGUUCUAACGGCCACCCGUCAUCCGGGGGCCGGACAGUACCUGGUGGGCAGUUUGACUGGGGCGGUCGCCUCCUAAAAGGUAACGGAGGCGCGCAAAGGUUUGCUCAGGCUGGUUGGAAAUCAGCCGACGAGUGUAAAAGCAGAAGCAAGCUUGACUGUGAGACCAACAAGUCGAACAGGGAGGAAACUCGGCUUUAGUGAUCCGACGGUUCUGAGUGGAAGGGCCGUCGCUCAACGGAUAAAAGUUACUCUAGGAUAACAGGCUGAUCUCCCCCAAGAGUUCACAUCGACGGGGAGGUUUGGCACCUCGAUGUCGGCUCAUCGCAACCUGGGGCUGAAGUCGGUCCCAAGGGUUGGGCUGUUCGCCCAUUAAAGCGGUACGCGAGCUGGGUUCAGAACGUCGUGAGACAGUUCGGUCCAUAUCCGGUGCACGCGCAGGAAUAUUGAGAGGAUUUCUCCCUAGUACGAGAGGACCGGGAGGAACGCACCUCUGGUGUACCAGUUAUCGUGCCAACGGUAAACGCUGGGUAGCCAUGUGCGGAGUGGAUAACCGCUGAAAGCAUCUAAGUGGGACGCCCACCUCAAGAUGAGUAUUCCCAUGGCGUAAGCCAGUAAGGUCACGGGAAGAACACCCGUUGAUAGGCUCUAUGUGGAAGCGCAGUAAUGCGUGAAGCAGAGGAGUACUAAUAGACCGAGGGCUUGAC